GAUGAACGCUGGCGGCGUGCCUAAUACAUGCAAGUCGAGCGAACAGACGAGGAGCUUGCUCCUCUGAUGUUAGCGGCGGACGGGUGAGUAACACGUGGAUAACCUACCUAUAAGACUGGGAUAACUUCGGGAAACCGGAGCUAAUACCGGAUAACAUGUUGAACCGCAUGGUUCAACAGUGAAAGACGGUCUUGCUGUCACUUAUAGAUGGAUCCGCGCCGCAUUAGCUAGUUGGUAAGGUAACGGCUUACCAAGGCAACGAUGCGUAGCCGACCUGAGAGGGUGAUCGGCCACACCGGAACCGAGCCACGGUCCAGACUCCUACGGGAGGCAGCAGUAGGGACUCUUGCGCAAUGGGCGAAAGCCUGACGGAGCAACCACGCGUGAGUGAAGAAGGUCUUCGGAUCGUAAAACUCUGUUAUUAGGGAAGAACAAAUGUGUAAGUAACUAUGCACGUCUUGACGGUACCUAAUCAGAACGCCACCGCUAACUACGUG
rnacentral:rRNA from 1 species